rnacentral:lncRNA from 1 species
UUUUCCACAUUUUUCCUCUAUUUCUUCCAUCCUCAGGAGUUCGAAGUGGGUGGGAAUGUUGGAGCGGCCGAAUAGGGAGGCUUAAACGAUGGCUGGAGCUUUGUGUUGGGUAAGUUUUUCCUUUUUUUUCCUUUCAUUGCUUUCUUUUUUUGGAGAUCUAUGGGAAGGAAAGCAUUUGAGGGAGAUCGGAGGGAAAGUCUGACAUCGGUGAAAAUAGAGAGGAAGGCGACAAUAGAGACCGAC